AUGGAUAUUUAGUGAGGUCUUUGAAGGUGAACAUUUGCUAGUCCCUCGGGAUUACAUUUGAAUCGCUGAAGUUGACCGAACUUGAUGAUUUAGAGGAAGUAAAAGUCUUAACAAGGUUUCCGUAGGUGAACCUGCGGAAGGAUCAUUA
rnacentral:rRNA from 1 species